rnacentral:rRNA from 1 species
AGAGUUUGAUCAUGGCUCAGAUUGAACGCUGGCGGUAUGCUUAACACAUGCAAGUCGAACGCGAAAGCACCUUCGGGUGUAAGUAGAGUGGCGGACGGGUGAGUAAGGCAUGGGAAUCUGCCCUAUAGCGGGGGAUAACUUGGGGAAACCCAAGCUAAUACCGCAUACACCUACGGGUAAAAGAUGGCCUCUUCUUGAAAGCUAUUACUAUAGGAUGAGCCCAUAUAAGAUUAGCUAGUUGGUAGGGUAAAAGCCUACCAAGGCUACGAUCUUUAGCUGGUCUGAGAGGACGAUCAGCCACACUGGGACUGAGACACGGCCCAGACUCCUACGGGAGGCAGCAGUGGGGAAUAUUGGACAAUGGGGGCAACCCUGAUCCAGCAAUACCGCGUGUGUGAAGAAGGCCUGCGGGUUGUAAAGCACUUUUAUCUGUGAGGAAGGGUUUAAUGUUAAUACCAUUAGACAU